GGCACGGUGGUGCAGUGGGUAGCACUGUCACCUCACAAGGUGUAGGGUUCGACACCGGCCUGGGCCG
rnacentral:tRNA from 1 species